rnacentral:rRNA from 1 species
UACGUAGGGGGCGAGCGUUGUCCGGAGUUACUGGGCGUAAAGGGCAUGCAGGCGGUUCUGCGCGUUUUGCGUGACAGCGGGUGGCUCAACUACCCGAGCAUGCGAAAGACGGCGGGACUUGAGGGUCAGAGAGGGACACGGAAUUCCGGGUGGAGUGGUGAAAUGCGUAGAGAUCCGGAGGAACACCGAAGGCGAAGGCAGUGUCCUGGCUGAUUGCUGACGCUGAGAUGCGAAAGCCAGGGGAGCGAACGGG